UACGUAGGGUGCAAGCGUUGUCCGGAAUUAUUGGGCGGAAAGAGCUUGUAGGCGGUUUGUCGCGUCUGCUGUGAAAUUUCGGGGCUCAACCCCGAACUUGCAGUGGGUACGGGCAGACUAGAGUGUGGUAGGGGAGACUGGAAUUCCUGGUGUAGCGGUGAAAUGCGCAGAUAUCAGGAGGAACACCGAUGGCGAAGGCAGGUCCCUGGGCCACUACUGACGCUGAGAAGCGAAAGCAUGGGGAGCGAACAGG
rnacentral:rRNA from 1 species